rnacentral:rRNA from 1 species
CCUACGGGAGGCAGCAGUGAGGAAUAUUGGUCAAUGGGCGCGAGCCUGAACCAGCCAAGUAGCGUGAAGGAUGACUGCCCUACGGGUUGUAAACUUCUUUUAUAAAGGAAUAAAGUGAGGCACGUGUGCCUUUUUGUAUGUACUUUAUGAAUAAGGAUCGGCUAACUCCGUGCCAGCAGCCGCGGUAAUACGGAGGAUCCGAGCGUGAUCCGGAUUUAGUGGGUUUAAAGGGAGCGUAGAUGGGUUGUUAAGUCAGUUGUGAAAGGUUGCGGCUCAACCGUAAAAUUGCAAUUGAUACUGGCAGUCUUGAGUACAGUUGAGGUAGGCGGAAUUCGUGGUGUAGCGGUGGAAUGCUUAGAUAUCACGAAGAACUCCGAUUGCGAAGGCAGCUUACUAAACUGCCACUGACAUUGAUGCUCGAAAGUGUGGGUAUCGAACAGGAUUAGAUACCCCUGUAGUC